UACGAAGGGUGCAAGCGUUAAUCGGAAUUACUGGGCGUAAAGGGUGCGUAGGCGGUUCGUUAAGUCUGUUGUGAAAUCCCCGAGCUCAACUUGGGAGUUGCAAUGGAUACUGGCAGGCUGGAGUAUGGUAGAGGAAGGUGGAAUUCCCGGUGUAGCAGUGAAGUGCGUAGAGAUCGGGAGGAACACCAGUGGCGAAGGCGGCCUUCUGGACCAAUACUGACGCUCAUGCACGAAAGCGUGGGGAGCAAACAGG
rnacentral:rRNA from 1 species